GAUGAACGCUAGCUACAGGCUUAACACAUGCAAGUCGAGGGGAAACGGCAUUGAGUGCUUGCACUCUUUGGACGUCGACCGGCGCACGGGUGAGUAACGCGUAUCCAACCUUCCCAUUACUGUGGGAUAACCUGCCGAAAGGCAGACUAAUACCGCAUAGUCUUCGAUGACGGCAUCAGAUUUGAAGUAAAGAUUUAUCGGUAAUGGAUGGGGAUGCGUCUGAUUAGCUUGUUGGCGGGGUAACGGCCCACCAAGGCUACGAUCAGUAGGGGUUCUGAGAGGAAGGUCCCCCACAUUGGAACUGAGACACGGUCCAAACUCCUACGGGAGGCAGCAGUGAGGAAUAUUGGUCAAUGGACGGAAGUCUGAACCAGCCAAGUAGCGUGCAGGAUGACGGCCCUAUGGGUUGUAAACUGCUUUUGUAUGGGGAUAAAGUUAGGGACGUGUCCCUAUUUACAGGUACCAUACGAAUAAGGACCGGCUAAUUCCGUGCCAGCAGCCGCGGUAAUACGGAAGGUCCAGGCGUUAUCCGGAUUUAUUGGGUUUAAAGGGAGCGUAGGCUGGAGAUUAAGUGUGUUGUGAAAUGUAGACGCUCAACGUCUGAAUUGCAGCGCAUACUGGUUUCCUUGAGUACGCACAACGUUGGCGGAAUUCGUCGUGUAGCGGUGAAAUGCUUAGAUAUGACGAAGAACUCCGAUUGCGAAGGCAGCUGACGGGAGCGCAACUGACGCUUAAGCUCGAAGGUGCGGGUAUCAAACAGG
rnacentral:rRNA from 1 species